AAAAUUACCGUAGACUAUAAUUCAGCCAAAGAAAAAUUAAAAGUAAAAUGUAAACCACAAAUAUGUGAAUUGAUUGUGAAUAUUUAUUAACUAAAUAAUUUAAUAAUAAAGAAAAUGCCUAUUUGAUUAAUUGUUACAGAGUAAAAAUUACAAUAAAACUGUCUUGAUCAGUGCUUUGCAGAAGCACCAUUACUGUCUGUGCAGUUGUUUAACAAGGAUUUAAUUGGAAAGAUAAGUGAAUGCACAUUUAAAAGUAUUGUUAAUUUGCUUUAUAAUCACCCCAUCCUUCACAGUAUUGACAGCACCAGGCACAAACCCCUUUCUCUUUUACAAGUAUUAUUUUCCAUAUGUGCACAAUAAAUUCUGAAGCAGUAAUUGGAAAUUUUAUGGAUUUCAACAUACCUAGUCUAGUGUUUUGAGUUAAUAGAUGCCAUAUCCUGUUUCUAAAGGUAGCUCAUAGGUGGCAUUCUAAGUAAAAAUCAGUGUCUUCUUAUUACAUGCGCUGUUUUGGAGGAUUGUUGGUUUUUCUUUCUGAAGCAGUAUCUAAUUCCUAUUUACUCUUCCUUUCCAUUUGAAAUAUCAACAAGAUGCUCAUCGCAACAUUAUUUUUUAUUUAAUAAACAACAGCCGUCAAAAACAGUAAUCUUCAAUAUGCUUAUAUUCCAUCUGUACUUGUAUUUAUUGUUCUAAAAUGGUUUGGAUUAAUCUAAAUGACAAGUAAGAGCCCAGACCAUAUGAGCAGCGAAGGAUGAUACCUUUAACCAGCAGGAUUCUUCAACCUUACUGUUAUGUUCUUUAUCAAUGAACUAUAAGAAAAGGGAAACAAAAUGUUGGGGUUUUAAUUAUUAUUAUUAUUUAAAGUAUUACUGAUGAAAUGAGCCUGCUGGGACCAAACAUCUGAGCCUGGAUUAUCAAGAACUGGACUGAAACUGCCUUUGGAACAGCCCUGCUGGGUCAACACAAAUGGGUUGGGGAGGUUUGAAGCAAGUAUUUAAAAGAGAGUGGGGAAGAAGAAAAUUAAAAAAAAAAAAAAAGUACAAGUGGCUUGGGAAGAGAAGCUGCUCCCUUUUGCAGCCUAUUUUUUUUAUUACUACUAUACUUUAAAGAAGUAAACUCCCAUGUGAGGAAAUACCCAACUGUUCACACUGACCCAGUACAACUGUAUGCGAACAGCUGAGUCCUAGCCUGAACCACUGAUUGAGCACCUGGGGAAAGGACCUGGUCAGCUCUGGGAGCACAGGUGAAGGCAAUUGAUGUGUGUGACUAGAGGGGGUGCAGCCUUGUUGCACCUCUCUUAGACCUCAUUUAAGGGCUGACUGCCACUGGGGAAGGCUCUCUUUCUGGAGAUUCUUUCUUGAUGAAGCUUUUCUCUGUAGACCUGGAAUAUUCUGAUACCGCGAUGGUGUUAUCUGGAUGACAUGCGGAGAGCAGAGCCCAGAGCUGCAGAGAGACUGCUGCCGGCAGCGCUCUCAGUGAAAUCUAUGUAUGCAGCAGCAACAGAAAAUAUUUAUUGGAAAGCCCUCCGAUGCCACAUGAAUAGCAGCUAGAGCAUCAGGAAGUCUUUCACUCAUACAUUUUAGCAACAGGACUACCUGCAAUGUGUUUAUUCCAGCGAUUAAAAACUACUGAAGACAGUUGCAUUCCAGUAACAGGCAGGGCUUACUUUGUAAGAUGGAUUUCCAAAGUUCUGGAGGCUGCUGUUCCUUAUAAAACUACGCCAAGGACUAUUUAAGUGGCCAGUAAUAUAAACAUAAUGCUGCUAAUGCUGAACAGUUUAUCACAUAAAUAUAAUUGUCUUCUUUUAGCAGAAUAAUAAAAAUGGAAUCCAUAUGUUAUGCAUUAUUUAAAAUUGUUUUCUGCAAGAUGUAUUAAUCCCAGCGAAGGAGCAAUCCUUUUACUCUAGGAGUAUAACAGCAGUUUGAUUUUAUUACAUUGUCAUUGUUUAAUUUGUUUGUUCCCGGUAGUAGUUUCACAGAUUUUUAUGAACUGUUACUUUUAUGGAAAGUCAAGUUACAAGUGAUGGACGCUGUUUGCUCGCAGGAAAAGAAAGGUCACGAAGGUAGAUAAUGUAUUUAUUUAUGUAGUUACUGCACUCAGCUUUUAAAAAAUCCCUCAAUUCUGAGCAGAAGCCGAAAUAACUUGUGGUUUUGAGACCCAGGAGGCACAUAUUUUGAUAUUGCUCCUCAGCAACACCGCCAGCUCUGCAGCCUAUUCAAAUUGGGGAGCUGAAUUUAAAGCUCAGAUACGCAGCGCUGGAUAGCGGGGGCUGCGUGGAGCGUACGGUUCUCCUUUGCAGCAAUGUGCUCUCGCAGCUCAAUGUCAUCUCGUGCCUUUGUUGUGAUGAAUUUGUGCUGGACGCUGUAACAAUAACUUCUUUGCUAAAAAAUCUCCCAGCACUUUGCACUAGGUUGUUUUCCAAGGAUUAAAAAAUAGCGCUUUUUGAUGCGGUGUAAAGCUUAAUUUCGAAUUCUUCUCGUCUGGAGUUUAAAAUCACUAAUUGUCACAUGUGAACCUGUACUCUAGGUUACUUGUUGUGUAACCAAAUGAUAAGCUGAGUCUCUGAAUAAUUCCGAAGCAAAAAGUAGCUUACAAACAUUCGCUGUUUCAAUUUAACAAACAGAAGGAAAAAAAAAGUUUAAGCUGCUGAAAUAUUUUGAGCACGGUCACAUCUUCAAAUGACUGUGAA